CAGGUGAUAUGCGCUCUACUGAAUAUCCGGAUCCUUGAUUUUCCUAACACUUUGUGAGCGAACCUUGUUUUCAUAGUGGAGUGAUCUUCUUCCCCCGCUGCAGAAGCCUGGAAUCGAUGCUUCGAGGGGCAUCAGGAAUGUAUCUUGUCCACAUGACAUUGUUUGUAAUACCUGUGACUCCCACGACGGUUCAAGGAUUGGGAUAACCAUGAUAACUUAUCUAAAACUUAAAUUUGUGUUGGCUGACACUGGUGAGAGAAAAAGUUUUUUUUUUAUUUUUCUUUAUAUAGUAUUCCGUCUCACGACAUAACUUGACGAACAUAAUUCCUAAAAUUCACUCGGUCCAUGGCAACCGUUCUCCAAUUCCUCGGGCACCCCACGUUCGCCAGAUCACGCUCUACUUGGUCUAACCACCUCGCUCGCUGCGCCCCCGCUCGUCUUGUUCCUACCGGAUUCGUACACCGAAAAAAAAAAAUCAUGGUAACCGUUACCAUAUCCGAGGGUAAAUUUAAAAAUAAAAACAGAUGGUUUUUUUUCGAGUACAUUUUUGUUUAUCUUGAACAACACAUUAGUUAAAAUUACCAUGUGAACGUGUUAUGGUGCGUUAUGGCAGAAUGACGGUCAAUUUUACUAUGCCAUGGUAUUUAAGACAAAACUAUGGUAAUUUAUCCAUGCAUUCAAUGAAAUCAUUUAAAUUUUUAAAAUGCUGGUUUAAUUAUUCAUCACUUUUAUUUUUUUCUUCACAAAUAAUAUUUUUGUCAUUAACACUGGAUCAGGAACUAAAUGGCAAAACCUAACUUGAUGAAGGUUCCUUCGACAUUUUGUUUCCGGUGUUCCGCGGUUGUCCCAACACACUAAAAUUGCAAAAAUUCUGCUCGGGAAUCUGACCCUCCGAAUCACAGGAAAAUGCUUCAUCCUCACGAAAUUCGAAAGGAUAUCUGAUCGAAUCUCGUAACGUUUUGUUUAACCUGACAUCCAGUAUUGAAUGUUUACGAGUGCACGGGUACUCGAACAAUCGUCCAGAAAUUCAGGACAGUGCCCACAUGUGCCACAGGCUCAUCUGGUUUCGCGCGUUUUUUGCCGAUGCCGAUGAACAAGUAGCUGUUACUAUCCUUUUUCUAUCGUGUGCGGUGUCACAGCUGCAUCGUUAUUUUUUUUUCAAGUUUAGUUUCAAAUUUUCUAAAAGUGGAUGUGUGAAGGAAGACUCGCCUCGCCCCAGUAAGUGUAACUUGGCACAAAAACCCAGCGGAGAAUAAUCGCAGCAACGAUAGACUGAAAGCCGAUUAGGAAAAAUUGAGGCCUGCUAAACGUACGGCUUUCGGCAGACGGUUCAACCAAAGGUUCAACUGAAUAGCGUUGCAGAAUAACCAUGCAGCCUUUUCCGUGAAAUGCAGAAUGGUGAAAGUGCAAGGAAACAAUUCCACCCAGAGCAUGAGGCAACAAGUCCCACCGGCCAGGAAGUGGAAUAAAUCACAAUGAGGAAUGCCACCACCGAUCCAGAAAAGUGUGUUAUUACCUUCCGGUUACUCUAUAAUAAAGUGAUUUAAAAGUGUUAUUUUUAAUGUGUUCUGUGUGAAAUGAUAGUGCAAAAUAAAAGUUGUAAAAUAAAUUUAAGUUUCAACA